UGGGGAAUUUUGGACAAUGGGGGCAACCCUGAUCCAGCCAUCCCGCGUGUGCGAUGAAGGCCUUCGGGUUGUAAAGCACUUUUGGCAGGGAAGAAACAGCCUGGGAUAAUACCCCGGGCGACUGACGGUACCUGCAGAAUAAGCACCGGCUAACUACGUGCCAGCAGCCGCGGUAAUACGUAGGGUGCAAGCGUUAAUCGGAAUUACUGGGCGUAAAGCGUGCGCAGGCGGUUCGGAAAGAAAGGUGUGAAAUCCCAGGGCUUAACCUUGGGACUGCACUUUUAACUACCGAGCUAGAGUACGUCAGAGGGGGGUAGAAUUCCACGUGUAGCAGUGAAAUGCGUAGAGAUGUGGAGGAAUACCGAUGGCGAAGGCAGCCCCCUGGGAUGAUACUGACGCUCAUGCACGAAAGCGUGGGGAGCAAACAGGAUUAGAUACCCUGGUAGUCCACGCCCUAAACGAUGUCAACUAGCUGUUGGGGUUUAUUAACCUUAGUAGCGCAGCUAACGCGUGAAGUUGACCGCCUGGGGAGUACGGUCGCAAGAUUAAAACUUAAAGUGAAUUGACGGGGGUCAUAGCUGUUUUCC
rnacentral:rRNA from 1 species